GCCGGGAUAGCUCAGCUGGGAGAGCAACAGACUGAAGCCAUCGGGAGUCUUCUGGAGGUCGCGUGUUCAAUCCACGCUCCUGGCA